rnacentral:rRNA from 1 species
GAUGAACGCUGGCGGCGUGCUUAACACAUGCCAGUCGAACGAUAACGCCCAGCUUGCUGGGUGGCUUAUUGGCGAACGGGUGAGUAACACGUGAGUAACCUGCCCUUAACUCUGGGAUAAGCCUGGAAAACUGGGUCUAAUACCGGAUAGGAGCGUCCACCGCAUGGUGUGUGUUGGAAAGAUUUUUCGGUUUUGGUUGGGCUCGCGGCCCCUCAGCUUGUUGUUGAGGUAUUGUCUCACCAAGGCGACGGCGGGUAGCCGGCCUGGGAGGGUGACCGGCCAAACUGGGACGGAGACACGGCACAGACUCGUACGGGAGGCAGCAGUGGGGAAUAGUGUACAAGGGGCGCAAGCCUGAUGCAGCGACGCCGCGUGGGGGAUGACGGCCUUCGGGUUGUAAACCUCUUUCAGUAGGGAAGAAGCGAAAGUGACGGUACCGGCAGAAGAAGCACCGGCUAACUACGUG